AAAUGUUUAUAUAGACAAUUGGACCUUAACUACCUUUUGGACUUUCUAACUAUAUUUGGUUACAAUCCAUAAUCUUAGGGUUUCAUUGGUUUACCUUAACACCCCUCCCCCCCUCAAGCAGUCGUGCUCGAACAUUGAGCUUGGCAGAAAGCUCGUGAAAUCGCAGCGGUGACAGGGGUUUCGUGAGUAGAUCAGCUAUCUGAGCAAUCGAAGGAUGGGAUUCGAGCCGAGAUGUACAAAGCUUAGGUUAUCGCACGAGAGGAUUGGCAUUUGAGGAACUGCAAUUCGAAGCUGGUGAAAUAGGGUCUUCAGCCAAAUUAGUUCAGACGCAGCUAAGACUAAUGCACGGAUGCUACUGAUUGAGAUGGAUGAAGUCUGCCAUUGUAAUUUAUUCCAGAAUUGGAAUUAGUGGGUACACGAAAAUAGCACUUAUCGGCUGUGUGACCAAACUUGUGGCAUAUCUGACAUGGUACUCUAGGCCUUGAAUACUAGUGUCUGCCUCCUCCUCUCUGAUUUCUCCCUCUUCCUCUAUUAUUGUCAUAAUUUCCUCGACUUUCAUAUUGGUGUGUAUGAUAAUUUAUGUGAUUUUCAUUCUGAUGAGAAUCUGUAUUUUGCUGUUGUGCUAAAUUGACAGAUGGUAAAGUAGAGUCUUUUGCAUUUGUCGCUGUCAAUUCUUUUUCCAUUCGACUUUCAUGGUAUAGUAAUAAAGAAGUGACUUCUUGAAUUGUUA